rnacentral:RNase_P_RNA from 1 species
CUAGCUGGCCGGGCGGCCGCUGUUGCCAGGUCUCGACCUGGGAAUGGAGGAAAGUCCGGGCUCCACGGAAAUAGGGUGCCGGUUAAUGGCCGGCGGGGGCGACCUCAGGGAAAGCGCCACAGAAAGCAAACCGCCUCGGCAAGCUCGCUUGCCGAGGUAAGGGUGAAAGGGUGCGGUAAGAGCGCACCGCGCGGCCGGUAACGGCAGCGGCAUGGCAAGCCCCACCCGGAGCAAGACCGAAUAGGGACGGCCGCGGCGGUCUUCGGACGCGCCGGAGCGUAUUUCCGCGCUGCCGUCCGGGUUGGUUGCGUUGAGGUCGCCGGUGACGGUGGCCCCAGAUGAAUGGUCGCCACGUCCGCGCAAGCGGGCCAUACAGAACCCGGCUUACAGGCCAGCUAGCGUU